rnacentral:lncRNA from 1 species
UUCUCUUUAAGGAUUCAGUGGCUUGAUUCCUGACAUUUCCUCUUUAAGAGGAAUCUUAUGUCAUCUUCUGAAAUCAUGUAUAGGUCAACUCUAUUGGUAAACAAGCAAGUAAACAAGCAAGCAAACAAACCAGCAUGUGACAGAAAACUGGCUAAUAUUCUGGGACGCUUUCCAGAGAAACAUUAAGCCUUUUAAGUGUGUAUGAGCCACUUUAAGAAACUUCAUAAGUGUUGCUAAAUUCACCACAGUCUGCUUCACCUAGAAAGGGGAACAGAGAAGAAUUAUUUUGUUAAACUGGGUUAACAAAUCUUAAAAAUUAAUUCAUUCUAGGGAAGGACUAGAUAAAAUUUCUGAUCUAAAUUAAGAUUUUCAGUUCAUUUCAACCACUAGAAUAUACUAAAUAACCACUUGGGUUUGUUAAAAUGCAGACUCCUGAGUUUCGGUUUCAAUAGGUUGAGGGUGGGGCCUAGGAAUCCUCAUUUUAGCAAUAACCCUCCUCUCCAAGUAUGAUUCUGACACACUGAUAAACGCUACUAGGAUGUAGCAAGAAGCAGGCCACUGCCGUGGCUGCUGUUGUUAUCUCAUUUAAGAGUAUCUGAAGGCUUAAAAGACAAAAAUAGUUGAGAACAGAAGGGGUCCUGAACAUCAGGGCAGAAGAGCAGUGAUUAGCCAUUGCCCAGUGAUAGUGACCACAGCUGGGAGGUGAACUUUCCCCCUUUCUGCUGCCACCAACCAGGGAAUCCAUCUCUAGGUAUCAAGACUGGGCAAGUCUGUAAUCCAUGACCUUUUGUUACCUGUGUGUUUGCUAGGAAAUAUCCGGAUGUGCGCCAGAGGAGAUAAAAUGAGGCUUAGCACAAACAUGCUGCUGCCCAGACUUAACAGUGGUCAAAAGCAAUGCUUAUGCUUAUAAGAACUGCUUGUUGGGCGGGCGCGGUGGCUCACACCUAUAAUCCCAGCAUUUUGGGAGGCCGAGGCGGGCAGAUCACGAGGUCAGGAGAUUGAGACCAUCCUGGCUGACAUGAUGAAACCCUGCCUCUACUAAAAAUACAAAAAAUUAGCCAGGCGUGGUGGCAGGUGCCUGUGGUCCCAGCUGCUCAGGAGGCUGAGGCAGGAGAAUGGCAUGAACCCAGGAGGCAGAGCUUACAGUGAGCUGAGAUCGCACCACCACACUCCAGCCUGAGCAACAGAGUGAGACUCCAUCUCAAAAAAAAAAAAAAGAACUGCUUAUUCCAGGGUGCCAGCAAAUGCUUCGUGUAGACAUUUAAGCCUUCCACUGAUCAUGCAAACAUGCUCAUGGGGGCUUCACCCAACAGUCCAAUGAGGCAAACCACAUUCAGUUAAGCUCCGUAUCAGCUCUCACAAGUGGCAGUCUCCAUCUGUGUGAAACAGAUUUCAGAUGCAGAGGGCUUCGUGGUAUUUGGAGGAAUAAUACCUUCCAAAACCGAUCUGGGCAAGCCAAGCAAGGUGGCUGCCAAUGUGGGGAAGCUCCAGAACGCCUGUGAGGCCCCUGUGGGUGGUUCUCCAAGAAGAUGGGGGCCCUGGUCCUCACAGAUAUCACUGUACACUCCCCGGACUAUUAAACAGCUCUGGUGGCAAACCUGGCGGGUGGGAUUAGUGGGGGCACUCCUAGACUCGGAGAUGGACAAUUCCUAGCCAGAGGCACCCGGUCAGAGCGGGCAGCUUUCAGGCCCUGCCCAUCCCUCGGGUUCUGGUGCACUGCCUCAGAAGAGUCACAUCUGCUCUAGCCUUUGGGCCGCCUCUCAGGACAAGGGAAAAAUGUUCUAUCUCUGUGCUGCAGAGAAGUGCUCCUUUGUCAGCAUAAUAAAGUGGGAACCUCAAAAGUAUCUGUUUUACUCACUUAUUCAGUGUGGAGACUUAUGGGAAAACAGUUUUAUUUUGUUAUUAAACCAGGCACUGCCUUUGGGCAUGUUAUUUAUAUAAAGAUAACUGCGCUUUAGAGAUUAUGUCCUGUGAAAGUAAACUUUAACUUCGAAGAGCAGGCCCUUCUUAACAGUCAUCCUGAUAAUUUGUUGCCAGGGAAUAAAGUUGUAAUUGCUACCUCUAUAUUCCUAUGAAGUCAGAUGGCUUUGCCAGCCCAGAAGACGACCAGUGGCCCGUGCCUCUCCUGCAUGCACAGCAGCAAAACAAGCGCCAGGACUGUGGGAUUCUUUAUUCCAACAGAGUGUGAGAGUGUUUGUCUCAAGUAAUGAGCCAGACAAUCAUUCCUAAACACCUGCUCUAUGACACACACUGUCCUAGGCCCUGCUUGGAAUUAAAAAAAAUUAGAAACAAAACAAAACUGAGAUUUCCAAUCAUGGUAGGGAGUCAAUAGUUCAACACGGAAUUGUUCUACAAUUGAAAAAGACAGAGAUUAAAUAAAUGCUAAGAAUUUAAGCCCUCAAAUGACCUACAACCUACAAGUCUACCUUAGUUAUCAUCACCGUAAUCUCCUGAAACAGCAGUCAAUCAUUACAAGCAGAAAGUGCAUUAUAAAUUACACUGAGCUAGGAGCCUGGCCAGCUACCAGUGAGGCAGCCAGAGGAGAAGUACAGCAUCAUGGAUAGAAGUCAGGUGAUGGCUCUGGAGCAAGAAUGCCUGGGUUUGAGUCCCAGCACCACCACUUCCUGGCUGCAAGAACAAACAGUUUAGGCCAGUUUGUUCUCUGUGCAUCAGCUUUCCAUUUCACACAUGUGGAAAAACAGCACCUACCUGUUGCGGUGGAAGGUUGCGCAAGAAAGGGAUGUGGUGAGAACUGAAUGAGUUAAUACAUGAAAAGUAGCCAGUAUAGCACCCAGCCAGUAAUAAACAAUGGACACUAGCUGUUAUUGUUACUGUUCUUAUCACCUCCCCAGAUAUGCCAGAAUUCCCUGUGUCACCUGGGAGAAGCACCAGUCCCUUGUAUUCCCUCAUUUGAACCCUUAGCUAACUCCAAAGACUCCAGUUACACUCUUCUUUCCUUUCCCUUUCUGUCUUCAGGUCCUGGGCUUUAUUUUCUCCCAUGGCCUCUUUUAUCUCAGCCUCCUCCCUUCCAUGCACUUCUUAGUGGGAUAAACCACACAUCCCCAUAGGCAUUUGUAGUACUGGGGCUGAUGGGAUGGGGUUACUUGCUCAGACUCAGAUGAAGGGCAUUCACAGUCCAGGAGCACCUGAGUCUAAGCCUCAUGAGAAAAUGCCAUCGUGGGUCAUAACUGGGCUCUGUUCAGGGCCCAAUAAGCACAGCCUUAAAAUGGAGUCUCAACCUGGUGUCCAGGCCUGUAGACAGAGUUCAGGGGUCUGCGAACUUGGCUCAAAAAAAUUUUUUUUUCAUUUUCAUUAGGCUCUAACUGAAUGUAUCAUUUCCUUCAAUAAUGAAUGUAGGGAAUAAACCACAGGGUGACAGCCUAUCUGUGACUGUCUCCAACAGAAAUAGAGAAAUCACAGAUACGUUCAUAUCAUGUCACAGGUGUUGCAGAUGUCUUAAAAUAUUGUCUUCAAUCCUCACUACUUUAAAAGCACAGAAAAGGCCAGGCAUGGUCGCUCAUGCCUGUAAUCCUAGCACUUUGGGAGGCUGAGGCAGGCAGACUGCCUGAGCUCAGGAGUUCGACACCACCCUCUUUAUGAAAAUACAAAAAAUCAGCUGGGUGUGGUGGUCUAUGCCUGUAUUCCCAGCUGCUUGGGAGGCUUGAGGCAUAAGAAUCGUUUGAACCCAGUAGGUGGAGGCUGCAAUGAGCUGAGAUGGUGCCACUGCACUCAGCCUGGGUGACAGAGUAAGACUCUGUCUUGAAAAAAAAAGAAAAAGUAAUAGACUUAUUACUAGAUCUUAUAUUUAAUAUAUUAAUAAAACGAUUAUACCACACAUUUACAAAUAUUUUCAUAAAUGUAUUUCAUUAUAGUUGAUUUUCUUCUUAAUCCUCUGUAUUUUAUGUGUUUAAAACAUUAUUCUGAGAAGGGGUCAGCGGCUUUACCAGACUGCCCAGGGUGUCCAGGGCACAUGAAACGGUUAAACCCCCCUUGCCUUAGAAGGCUGAGGAUGGCUGUAAGGGCGGCAAUCUUAGGUGAAAGAUGUGUAAGUACUUACUGAACUGUGACAUUAUAAUAUUCUUCUGGUGUCACGAUUUUUGGUCCACCAAAGUAGUCCAGGACCCAGAUAUUGGUUAUAUUCAA